UACGAAGGGGGCUAGCGUUGUUCGGAAUUACUGGGCGUAAAGCGUGCGCAGGCGGCUAUCCAAGCCAGUGGUGAAAGCCCGGAGCUCAACUCCGGAAUUGCCAUUGAAACUGUUCAGCUUGAGGACGAGAGAGGUGAGUGGAAUUCCCAGUGUAGAGGUGAAAUUCGUAGAUAUUCGGAAGAACACCAGUGGCGAAGGCGGCUCACUGGCCCGGUACUGACGCUGAGGUGCGAAAGCGUGGGGAGCAAACAGG
rnacentral:rRNA from 1 species